UACUUCACUGAACAUUAUUCAGCCCUGCCACUGGUGACAGAAGUGCUUGACAGAGCUGCUGGAAACUGGGUCAUGCGGUGGAUAAAACACAGCCUGCUUUCCCAGGCUGCUUUUAGCGUGGACCUCCUGAGAUCGCAGUAAAUAAUAAAUACCUGCAGGCCACCGCGGGCACUUUGUGCAGUGCUGCAGAGCUCAUCUUUGGUCCGUGAGAGCAGGAGAUCAUGUAACGAUAUAAACCCAUGAGGUAGGUAUGCAGAGAGAAACUUUGGCUGCCUAUCUCUGUUUCUGAGCAGUUACUGUGCUGAUUUUUUUCCGAAGUAUGGGUAGGUAUACACUGUUGGACGAUGCAAUUUCUUCCCUCGCAGGCCUGUGUCCCAGGUUGGGGAUGACUUCUGAGGACUUCGUUGGUGUGGUGGUAGCAGCUGUUGGUCAUCGAUGUCUCACCAGCUUCACUGACAAGAAGAGCCCUGUGGGCACUGCUCCUGGAUUGUACUCCAAAGAAGUUUUACCCUUCCUUCCUCACCACUCUGCUUGGAUGCCUUUGUAGUGACUGGAGCCAAAAACCACAGGAUCCCAAAGGUAUGGAGAGAAACUUAGUUGUAUAGAGAAAAUGCUCCUCACUUUGAAGAUCUCGUUUGAAAGGCUGAUGGAGAAAUGCCCUGAAAUUAAAGAUAUUUUCAGGUUCAGAGAACAAAGAGGGGAAGCACAGAGACCCGAGAAAGAAAGAACAUCCUGCAGUUGGAAAAAUCAGAAGCGUGCCUGCAACCCUCCAGAGGAGACAGAGUGAUUCAAAGGCCCUUCUUGGACUGUGAUGGGAAACAGAGAACCAGACUUCAGGUGUAAACUGGAGAGGACUUUGCUGCCAGCAAGGUGCCCUUUGAGGCUGGCUACUGGCUUCAGUGAAGGUGAUCUGUGUGAACUCCAGUCCAGAUCUGAAGGCACAAGAAGAAAAUUCACAGUGGUGAAACUUGGAUCAUUUGAACGCAAAUCUGAACAUCACAAAUACAUGCCUGUAGCUUUUUCCACAGAUUUUGGAAAUGCAAUAGAAAUUUCCACUGAAAAUUUCAGCUGAUUCAUAAUGGUUACUGCUGCAGUUAACCAGGUUUGGAGUGGGCCUGCUGACUGGAUUUGUUGAGCAAAAAGCCUUGCAGUAGAAACAAGCAGAAAGCAGAAGGAUUCUAAUGGAAUUUCCACCUUGAAAAUUUCAUUUGAGCAUAACCCAGGGAGAUAUGCACAGUAAUGGAGAGCCUGAUCUUACAAACAACCUGCUCCCUGAUUCCUUCCAUCGUAUUUGAUGGCAUUCGGCACUUCAUACAAUCCUGUGUGUGAUCAGGUAGCCAUGGAUUUCUUCAUGUCAGUAAGAGACCGUGCCAGCAAAAAUUUUCCUCUAGAAGCAGUCAGGCAGCUCAGAGGCCAAAUUAAUCCCUUUAUAACUGAACCAAAUGAAGUUACUCUUUCAAUAGUAUUGUUACUGGUCCCAUGUUGGUGAAACAACCAUUUGCUCUGAAUGAAAUGACUCAACUCCUUCCAGACAAAAAAGUCUGAGCUCUGAAGCUGAGCUCUGCCAUCCCCCUGACAUGCUAGGGUUGUCAUGGUGUUGCAGAGAACUCAGGGAGGAGGUAGAGAGGACUCCCAAAUAAUUUGGUGGUAAGGAAACUGUUCUCUUCUUAUAAGGUUUUCUUUAGCACUCUAUAACAAGCUCCACCUAUCUGACAAAUAGUUGACUUCUAGUUUAAGAGUUAGAAGCAGGCUCAUAUUUAUUAUAUUAAGCUUCUUUUAAAUAUAAUGCAAUUUAUAUUUCCAGUGCAAAGAUAGUCAGAGAAGGCGUGUUGCUUAUGAGAUACAUUUAUUAUCCUAAGCCUCCCACCCCUGGGACACGUUAAUCACAUGUGGAUUGAAUUCACAUGGACUUUUCUGGGAAUACUGGACCACAUCACACUGAAAUGGCAACAGCUGGAAUUAUAGUUGUUUUUCAUCAAGUAUAUUUGAAUGAUCUUACCUUGGCAACCAUCAAUACUCCUUGUCAAUCCUUCUAAAAGCAGUUUCUCCUAGUGUAGUUUCAUGGCUCUUUUAAUUGCAAGUUAGACUAGGCCAAAUUCUUACUCAGCUUUCAUUUGGAAAAAAAACUCCCACAGAAAUGUCUUUGAGAACUUGUAUAAGUGAGGGCUCAAGGAAAAUGUAAGCCAAAACAUUUUGUCUGGUUGAAGAGCUACAGAAAACUGCAUCUCUCGGUAGUCCCAACCCAGUGCUAUCACUGGUUUCCCCGAAUUAUUACUGAUGAGCUUUUUUUGCAUGUCCACUGUUUAAACUUUGCCAUCCUUCCUUGAGUCCCGUCGUAGGCUGAGUAUCAAGCUGAAACUUCUCUCAUUCAAGACCAUUUACUACUACACUGCUGUUGACAUUACUGAACAUGCGUGUCAUUAAAAGCCCUGCAUUGGGCAACACUUGCAUCUUCUUGGGUUCUGUAUUUGUAGGUCUUUUCUUGGCAUUACAGUCCUAUUGAAGGGCUUUGUGAGAAGCUGCUGAAGAGUGUCUCUCCAUGACCUCGUAGCUCUUGAGUCCUUGGUAUCUUUUCCUUGGCGGCUCCAAUUAGGGUAUGAGAGCUUUUUUUUUUUUUUUCUUCCAUGUGUGCAACAAGGACUUGUGGAAUAGGUGGCAUCCUCCAGGAUAGGAAGGUGUCCAGCUCUCUUUCGGUGCUCCAUGCAGGGCGGCCUGAGCUCCCAAGGCACCCUGAGCCCCAUCACAUGGGCAU